rnacentral:rRNA from 1 species
GACGAACGCUGGCGGCGUGCCUAACACAUGCAAGUCGAGCGAACAGACGAGGAUCUUGCUCCUCUGACGUUAGCGGAGGACGGGUGUGUAACACGUGUAUAACCUACCUAUAAGACUGGGAUAUUUACGGGAAACCGGCGCUAAUACCGGAUAAUAUCCUGAUCCGCAUGGUUCAAUGGUGAAAGACGGCUUUGCUGUCACUAAUAGAUGCUUCCGGGCCGCAUUAGCUAGUUGGUAGGGUACAGGCCUACCAAGGCAACGCGGCGUUGCCGACCUGAUAGGGUGAUCGGCCGCAUGGGAACUUAAACACGGUCCUGGCGCCUACGAGAGGCAGCAGUAUGGAAUCUUACGCAGUGGGCGGAAACCUUGCGGAACAACGCCGCGUGAGUGAUGAAGGUCUUCGGAUCGUAAAACUCUGUUAUUAGUUAAAAACAGAUGUGUAAUGAACUAUGCACUGCUUGACGGUACCUAAUCAGAAAGCCACGGCUAACUACGUG